rnacentral:misc_RNA from 1 species
GGAAGUAAAAGUGUAACAAGGUUUCCGUAGGUGAACCUGCGGAAGGAUCAUUCAUAAUAAGUGUUUUAUGGCACUUUUUUAAAUCCAUAUCCACCUUGUGUGCAAUGUCAGGGUUGAUUUUUCUCUCGAGAGGAUCAACCCCAAACAUCAACUAUAUCUCAACUCUUUGUCUGAAAAAUAUUAUGAAUAAAACAAUUCAAAAUACAACUCUCAACAACGGAUCUCUUGGCUCUC